rnacentral:rRNA from 1 species
UACGGGGGGGGCAAGCGUUGUUCGGAAUUACUGGGCGUAAAGGGCUCGUAGGCGGCCAACUAAGUCAGACGUGAAAUCCCCAGGCUCAACCUGGGAACUGCGUCUGAUACUGGAUGGCUUGAAUCCGGGAGAGGGAUGCAGAAUUCCAGGUGUAGCGGUGAAAUUCGUAGAUAUCGGGAGGAACACCGGUGGCGAAGGCGGCGACCUGGGUAGAUACUGACGCUGAGGUGCGAAAGCGUGGGGAGCAAACAGG